UUUCCGUAGGUGAACCUGCGGAAGGAUCAUUAUUGUAUAACCGAGGUGCGAGGGCUGUCGCUGACCCGAAAGGUCGUGCACGCCCGAGUGCCCUCACUCACAUCCAUCUCACCCCUAUGUGCACCACCGCGUGGGUCCCCCUUUGGCUUGUUCGGAGGGGGGCUUACGUUUUCACACAAACUUUGUAUGCAGUGUAGAAUGUAUUUUUUGUUUUGCGAUCACGCAAUCAAUACAACUUUCAACAACGGAUCUCUUGGCUCUC
rnacentral:misc_RNA from 1 species